rnacentral:rRNA from 1 species
AUACGGAGGAUGCGAGCGUUAUCCGGAUUUAUUGGGUUUAAAGGGAGCGUAGGUGGGAUAUUAAGUCAGCUGUGAAAGUUUGGGGCUCAACCUUAAAAUUGCAGUUGAUACUGGUUUCCUUGAGUACGGUACAGGUGGGCGGAAUUCGUGGUGUAGCGGUGAAAUGCUUAAAUAUCACGAAGAACUCCGAUCGCGAAGGCAGCUCACCGGGCCGGAACUGACACUGAUGCUCGAAAGUGCGGGUAUCAAACAGGAUUAGAUACCCUGGUAGUCCGCACAGUAAACGAUGAAUACUCGCUGUUUGCGAUACACGGUAAGCGGCCAAGCGAAAGCGUUAAGUAUUCCACCUGGGGAGUACGCCGGCAACGGUGAAACUCAAAGGAAUUGACGGGG